rnacentral:lncRNA from 1 species
AUGUCCUGUGUCCCGCCACGGCCAGUCAGAGAGGGAGAGAGGGAAUGUGAGCGCCUUCGGAGACCAGAAGAAAGUGUUGGCCCUCCUGCAUCUGGAGUUACAAGCAGUGGUGAGAUGCCCCAUAUGUGUGCUGAGAAUUUCCCUCUGGUCCUCUGCAAGAGCAGGACAUACCCUUAACCGCUGAGCCCGACCUUGUUUUAGCCACGUGAAGUGCGCAUCCAAACCACCAUCUCAUUUCAGAACGUUUCCACACAUGAGACCCAUUUCUCCCCUUUGGUCCCCUGGGAGCCAGUCAUGUACUCUCUGAGACUGUGAACCUGUCUGUCAGGACAUUUCAUACAUACGGGGGUCAUUCAUACGAGUGGAGUGGCUUUAAGGGAGGGGUCCAUCCAGCAACUCCCUGAUACGUUUAAAAUGAAUUUACCACACAACUUGGUCAUUCCACUCCAGUGUAUGUGUCGAGAAGAGUUGAAAGCUCUUUGAAACGUUUUUAAAGAAUUUAAAGUGUAAAACCCUGUGUACAGGAAUGUUUGUAGAUGUAGUGCAGCCAAAUGGCACCCACGUGAUGACAAGCUACGCAAAUGGGCUGUGUUCAUGAAGGCAAGGGUGGGGCUGCUGUGUGUGGCCCACAGAAAAGCCUUACCUGUUCUUUCUUCAACAAGAACGAUACCAGGCGCGUAGUAGGUAUCCUGUAAAUACAGACUGGAC